GGUUUCUCCCUGUAACAAUAUCCUGGUGCUGCCCGAGUGUUUCUCACAGACUCCAGCAUCAGUGAUUUUGUUGCAGGGGGGA
rnacentral:pre_miRNA from 12 species